rnacentral:rRNA from 1 species
UUGAACGCUGGCGGAAUGCUUUACACAUGCAAGUCGAACGGCAGCACGGGGGCAACCCUGGUGGUGAGUGGCGAACGGGUGAGUAAUGUAUCGGAACGUACCCAGUCGUGGGGGAUAACUAUCCGAAAGGAUAGCUAAUACCGCAUACGUCCUGAGGGAGAAAGCGGGGGAUCGCAAGACCUCGCGCGAUUGGAGCGGCCGAUAUCGGAUUAGCUAGUUGGUGAGGUAAAGGCUCACCAAGGCGACGAUCCGUAGCGGGUCUGAGAGGACGACCAGCCACACUGGAACUGAGACACGGUCCAGACUCCUACGGGAGGCAGCAGUGGGGAAUUUUGGACAAUGGGGGAAACCCUGAUCCAGCCAUUCCGCGUGAGUGAAGAAGGCCUUCGGGUUGUAAAGCUCUUUCGGCAGGAACGAGACGGUCGGCUUUAAUAAAGUCGGCUAAUGACGGUACCUGCAGAAGAAGCACCGGCUAACUACGU